CAAGUUUAAAUAUGUUGUGCAGCUCAAUGAUAUACAUAUCGUAGUUGGAAUUUUUCAAUUGAUGGUCAUUAUUAAGUACCAAAAUGGUUGACAUUGAAGCGUUACACUUAUUACGUCAGCGAAAAGAGGCGCUAAAAAAAUUACCAAAUCCCGCCGACCCAAACAUAUCAUUUGAGAAGUAUGAAGAAACCGUACCAAAGACUAUGACAAAGACACAAACAGAUUUAGAAAAAGUAUCCAAGUAUGCAACAGAAAUUAUAGAAGAACUCGAAAAUGUCAGAGAAUUGGUGAAAAACUGCAGCGUCAAAAUCGGCGAACAUCUACAAGAAUUAAUGAAAAAGAACUUGAUAAAAAUUGAAUUUUCACCACAAGGAAGGCCGUUGAAUAGGAAUGAUAUUGAUAUGAAAAAACUAGAACAAGUUCAAACUGUGCAGAGACUUGCAAAACAACAACAAGAACUGAUGGAGUUCAUAGCGAAAACUGAACAACUGGUUUUGAAGAUUGAAAGUAACGCAGCUUUGUCCUUUUCCGAUUUAACUGGUGUUACAAGUCAAAUGAAACAAUGGUGUGAUGGUUUAGAAACAUUGGAAGAACAGAAAAAAAGAAAAAAAGAAGAAAAGGAAGAAGAAGAAAGGAAGAAAAGGGAAAAGGAAGACGCAGAACGGAGAAAAGUAGAAGAGGAAGAACGGAAAAAGAGAGAACAGGAAGAAGCUGAGAAACGGAGAAAAGAGCAAGAGGAACGAGAAGCUGAGGAGAAACGAAGAAAGCAAGAAGAAGACAAGAAAAAGAGGGAUUGGAAAAACUGGCCACCUUUCAUAUAUUACAAUACACGCCAAAACAAGUUUCGUCAGGAAAUCUGCUGUGUUAUUUUUACAAUGCCUGAUGGAACUCAGGAAAGUGAUUUUGUCUGCCAAGGGUCAGAUGCUGUUGAAGAUCUAGAUAAAUGUUUGGAAACCAAUGACGAACAAAUCAUAUCACCUGUUAUUACAAUACAACCAAAGAAAGGCAAAAUGACUUUUGAGUUGCCAAUGCGCGUGUAUGUGCCAAUAGUAUCGCAUGAUCAGUGCCUACUACCAACGCUGAAGUUAUCAAUUAAAGGUCAGAAAUGGAGAUCAGGAAAAUCACUUCCAGAAAUUCAUCUACCAAAAGUGAAAGGUGUUUCCUUCGUUGGAGUAGAAAUACCCAUUAACCAAUUUGAAAGCAUUCAGUGUGUUGCUGUUGACAGACACAAACGUCAUGAAAUCGAAGUCGACGAAGAAGGGAAAGUUUUUGAACCAGAAGUUGACAGAAAUAUCAAAGUAAAGUUUCCACAGAGAGCGUUUGCUGGGAAAACUAUUGUAGCUACGAAGGCAGUACCAUGGACUCAUGCGGACAUUAACAAUGCUUCAAAGAAGCACAAAGAGUUGCAAAAUAUUAAAACAGCUGGUUCUUAUAUAGAUAUAUCAUGCGAAAAUUCAACAAAAGAAGAUUCAGAUUUAGAGAUGUAUGAUUUUGGUUGGGUUGUUGACAAAAAUGUCAAAAAGAAUCAAUCAGUUAACCAAGAAACUAUUAACAGAUGUAGCAGAUGGGUAGUCAAUAAUUUAAAUCCUGAUGAAAAUGCAUUGCAAUUAAAUGAUGUCUUUGAUAGUGACUUCGUUGAAGACCUGAAGACAAAAGAGACAGAUGGGGACAAGACUCGCUUGAUUCUUCGUCAUUUGCACGAUUCUGAUGCUGAUAGUGACUUCGAUAAAUUUUUAGUCGGAUUGAAAUCAUCCCAACCAAUAGUGGCAAAUAGAAUAAAUUCUGUAAAAAAGCAAGUCAAGCUGUCUAGAAAAACUGAAGACACAGACGCCGAGGACAAUUUUGCUAGUGACUUUGAUCCAGAUUUUGAAAAGAAGGAGGGUACCAUUUGUGUAGUUUCAAAGUUGACAGGAAAGAGUUGGGAGGUUGUACCAAUAGAAGCCUCUGAAGAACAUCCAAAAGCAAGAUUCCUGAAGCUUCCAUCCGGAAAUGAUCAAUAUCAAGUUUUGGGACUAGUUGUUCCAGACAACAUGUCAGAAGAAGAUAUUUGCAGAGCAGCUGAAAUACUUGAAGGAUUGAAUUGUGUCACCAAUGUUUCAAUAAUAUGUCGUCAAAAGCAUACGAAUCCGCAUGAAGUUAUUAUUGAAUGUGUUAAAUCUGAAAAUGUAGCCACCACUAUGCAGCACUUGGAUUCUAUAGGUUAUAAUGAUGGGCCAGCUGAGAGUACAGGUUUUGGUGUUGUUGAUGGAGAAGAGAUCGAAAUAAAAUUUGAAUCAAAUCUUUAUUUAGAUCGUCUAAAACAUGCACCACUGAAGAUAAAAUUCUAUAAGCAUCUGCCUUCUAAUAGAUAUUCGGAACAUCUAGUAGUCGUCAGCAAGUCAGAGCAGGGAGAAGACAGUAACUACCAUGGAUAUCUAAAGUACUGUGUACCUCCAGGACGGUUGUCAUUACCAAAAAUAGGGUCACUUGUAGUGUACGUUCCAAAGGUAUGGAAAUCAGCUAAGUUUUUUCAUUUUAUGUUAAAUGCAUGCACAUUAAUUUUUUAUAACAACAAAGAUAUAUAUUUGUACAUUCAUAGUUGUUUAUGAAAGAAUAAUAAUUACAUUGAUACUUACAUUUAAGAAGCUAAUGAAUUGAUUUGUGCUAUAAUAUUUACUAUAUCACUCGAAUUAGUUAUGUGCAAUUGUUUGCUUCAUCUUGAAGGCAUUACUAUGACUUUGAAAUGCAGAACAGUUUUCGCAGAUAAUCGUUUAGUGUGUUUAUGGAUGUUAUGAUAUGAAAAACAACUCCAUACCCUCUGUUUCUUUCUACAUUCUACAUCACAGAAUACACCUGUAAAUAUUGUGCAAUAUUUUCAUAAGAUUCAGUUCUUCUCAUGUCACAUUAUUAGCAGUCCUGUUUUGAACCAAGUAUAUAUGCAAUGCAAUGAUUUUUGCUUUAACUGAUUCCAUAAAUGUACAUUGAUGUAUAUCGUACAUUUUUGUUUUAUCUGCUAGCCUUUGGAUUAGAUAAUUGGAAACUUUCCAUAUACACUUGAUGUACCAGUGAAAGCAUUGGCUAAGUACAUCGCUUGGCAGUUGACAUGUACAAAUUUUAAUUCAACAAAAUGGGUGAAACUUGGUGGGUAUCUUACUGACUGUGACUCCCAUCUUUAUCAUCAAAUCUGUAAAAAUAUUGACGAAGAAGCA